rnacentral:rRNA from 1 species
AUUGAACGCUGGCGGCAUGCUUUACACAUGCAAGUCGAACGGUAACAGAGAAAAGCUUGCUUUUCUGCUGACGAGUGGCGAACGGGUGAGUAAUACAUCGGAACGUACCCUGUAGUGGGGGAUAACUACUCGAAAGAGUAGCUAAUACCGCAUACAACCUGAGGGUAAAAGUGGGGGACCGCAAGGCCUCACGCUAUAGGAGCGGCCGAUGGAAGAUUAGGUAGUUGGUAGGGUAAAGGCCUACCAAGCCGACGAUCUUUAGCGGGGCUGAGAGGACGAUCCGCCACACUGGGACUGAGACACGGCCCAGACUCCUACGGGAGGCAGCAGUGGGGAAUUUUGGACAAUGGGCGAAAGCCUGAUCCAGCAAUGCCGCGUGAGUGAAGAAGGCCUUCGGGUUGUAAAGCUCUUUUGUUUGGGAAGAAAUCCCUAAGGAUAACACCCUUGGGGGAUGACGGUACCAAAAGAAUAAGCACCGGCUAACUACGUGCCAGCAGCCGCGGUAA